GGGCCAGUAGGUUGGUCGUGCCACCGGUACGUACUGGUCUCACUGAUUCCUCCUUCCUGAAGAACCGUAAUGCCAUUAAUUUGGUGUUGCGGGGAAACAGGACUGUUACUUUGAAAAAAUUAGAGUGUUUAAAGCAAGCUAACGCUUGAAUACAUUAGCAUGGAAUAAUGAAAUAGGACGAUCGAUCCUAUUUUGUUGGUUUCUAGGAUUGACGUAAUGAUUAAUAGGGAUAUGGG
rnacentral:rRNA from 1 species